rnacentral:rRNA from 1 species
GAUGAACGCUGGCGGCGUGCCUAAUACAUGCAAGUCGAGCGAACGGACGAGAAGCUUGCUUCUCUGAUGUUAGCGGCGGACGGGUGAGUAACACGUGGAUAACCUACCUAUAAGACUGGGAUAACUUCGGGAAACCGGAGCUAAUACCGGAUGAUAUUUUGAACCGCAUGGUUCAAAAGUGAAAGACGGUCUUGCUGUCACUUAUAGAUGGAUCCGCGCUGCAUUAGCUAGUUGGUAAGGUAACGGCUUACCAAGGCAACGGUGCAUAGCCGACCUGAGAGGGUGAUCGGCCACACUGGAACUGAGACACGGUCCAGACUCCUACGGGAGGCGGCAGUAGGGAAUCUUCCGCAAUGGGCGAAAGCCUGACGGAGCAACGCCGCGUGAGUGAUGAAGGUCUUCGGAUCGUAAAACUCUGUUAUUAGGGAAGAACAUAUGUGUAAGUAACUGUGCACAUCUUGACGGUACCUAAUCAGAAAGCCACGGCUAACUACGUG